rnacentral:rRNA from 1 species
CCUACGGGUGGCAGCAGUGAGGAAUAUUGGUCAAUGGGCGGAAGCCUGAACCAGCCAAGUAGCGUGCAGGAUGACGGCCCUACGGGUUGUAAACUGCUUUUAUACGGGAAUAACGCGCCUUACGUGUAGGGCUUUGCAUGUACCGUAUGAUUAAGGACAGGCUAAAUCCGUGUCAGCAGCCGCGGUAACACGGAGGGUCCGGGCGUUAGCCGGAUUUUUUGGGGUUAAAGGUAACGUAGGCCGCAUGUCAAGCGUGCGAUGAAAUGUACGGGCUCAACCCGGGCCUUGCAGCGCAAACUGGCGUACUUGAGUCCGCGGAAGGCAGGCGGAAUUCGUCGUGUAGCGGUGAAAUGCUUAGAUAUGACGAAGAACCCCGAUUGCGAAGGCAGUUUGCUGCAGCGGAACUGACGCUGAUGCUCGAAAGCGCGGGUAUCGAACAGGAUUAGAUACCCGUGUAGUC